rnacentral:rRNA from 1 species
AGUUCGAUCAUGAGCUCAAGAUUGAACUGUGGCGGGAUGUUUACACAUGCAAGUCUGAACGGCAGCACGGACUUCGGUCUGGUGGCGAGUGGCGAACAGGUGAGUAAUGUAUCGGAACGUGCUAAAUGGCGGGGAUAACUACGCAAAGGCGGCAGCAGCGCAUACGCCCUUCGGGGGGAAAACGGGACCUUCGGGCCUCGCACUAUUAAGAGCGGCCGAUAUCGGAUUAGCUAGUUGGUGGGAGUAACGACUCACCAAGGCAUUGAAUCCGUAGCUGGUUUGGAGGACGACUGACCGCGUGGGACUGAGACACGGCCCAGACAUCACUGCGGAGGCAGCAGUGGGGAAUUUUUGGACAAUGGGGGAAACCCUGAUCCAGCCAUCCAACAUUGUUGGUGAUGAAGGCCGCAGGUUAACACCUUUGGCAGGAAGAAGAAACGGCCACGGAUGACACCCCGUGCAACUGACGGCCUGCAGAAUAAGCACCGGCUAUACGUGUAGGUAAUACGUAGGAUGCAAGCGUUAAUCAGGACUACUGGGCGUAAAGCGUGUGAGCGGUUCGGAAGAAAGAUGUGAAAUCCCAGAGCUUAACUUUGGAACUGCAUUUUUAACUGCCGGCUAGAGUGUGUCAGAGGGAGGUGGAAUUCCGCGUGUAGCAGUGAAAUGCGUAGAUAUGCGGAGGAGAACUACCGAUGGCGAAGCAGCCUCCUGGGAUAACACUGACGCUCAUGCCUGGUGGCAGUAAGGGCAAACAGGAUUAGAUACCACCGUGGUCAUACGCCCUAAACGAUCUCAACCUGCUUCGUGGGGCCUUCGGGCCUUGGUAGCGCAGCUAACGCGUGAAGUUGACCGCCUGGGAAUUUACGGUCGCAAGAUUAAAACUCAAAGGAAUUGACGGGGACCCGCACAAGCGGUGGAUGAUGUGGAUUAAUUCGAUGCAACGCGAAGAAGCUACCCACCUACCCUUGACAUGUCUGAAUCCGGAAGAUUUGGGAGUGCUCGCAAGAGAACCGGAACACAGGUGCUGCAGCGUGACUUGUCGUCCGCUCGUGUCGUGAGAUGUUGGUUAAGUCCCGCAACGAGCGCCAACCCUUGUCAUUAGUUGCUACGAAGAGGCACUCUAAUGAGACUGCCGGUGACAAACCGGAGGGCGGGAUGACGUCAAGUCUCAAAGCCUUAUGGUAGGGCUUUGCGUCCUUCAAUGGUCAGGACAGGAUCCUAAACCAACCGAAGAGGGAGCAAUCCGAAACUGAUCAUAGUCCGGAUCGCAGUCUGCAACUCGACUGCGUGAAAGUCGGAAUCGCUAGUAAUCGCGGAUCAGCAUCGCGGUGAAUACGUUCCCGGGUCUUAUACACUGCUUCCGUCACGCCGCGGGAUCGGUUUCACUCAAAGUAGUUAGCGCUAACCAUGUGAGAGGCAAUUACCGCACAGUAAGUUCAUGACUGGGGUGAAGUCAUGCUCAGGUAG